AGAGUUUGAUCCUGGCUCAGAGCGAACGUUAGCGGCGGGCUUAACACAUGCAAGUCGAGCGAGAAAGCACCUUCGGGUGUGAGUAGAGCGGCGGACGGGUGAGUAAUACGUGGGUAACCUGCCCUUCAGCGGGGGACAACCACUCGAAAGGGUGGCUAAUACCGCAUACGUCGGUUUUUUCUGUGGAAGAAACCGGGAAAGCUAGCAUCCUUCGGGGUGCCGGCACUGAAGGAGGGGCCCGCGUCGCAUCAGCUUGAUGGUGAGGUAAUGGCUCACCAUGGCAUAGACCCGUAGCUGGUCUGAGAGGAUGAUCACCCACACUGGGACUGAAACACGGCCCACACUCCUACGGGAGGCAGCAGUGGGGAAUAUUGGACAAUGGGCGAAAGCCUGAUCCAGCCACGCCGCGUGAGUGAUGAAGGCCCUCGGGUCGUAAAGCUCUGUGGAGAGGGACGAAAACUUGUGCGUUAAUAGCGCACAACUUGACGGUACCUCCUUAGCAAGCACCCGGCUAACUCC
rnacentral:rRNA from 1 species